UCCAUCUCUCAGCAUGUGUACCUAAGCAUUUUUGUUUGAUGACAUCUUCUUUGCGGUUUUCACAGUUCAGGCUGCUGAUUGACCCCCUUCCUCUUUCACCAGCACCACUGUGUAGACUGUUAAUCGUGCAGCGUGUUAUAAUGGCAUGAGGGACCGGGAGCCCAGCAGCGAGCUCGCUGUCUCCUCGUGUCAACAGCCAUUUUAGCCGAGAAGGGCACCACAUGGCCAGUGCACACGCGGAAAGGACAAGCAGUUAUUUGGUUUUGACAACCCCGUGCCAGCGAGACCUCAGCCUGGCUGUCAAGCAUGCGUGUUUGUGAGAGUCCGCGAAUGUUAUUGUCUGAGGUUUCCAGAGACACUACCGGAGCGGAAUGGCCAAACACCAGGUACACUCCUUCUUUCUCGCCCAGGGCAAGCUGAAAGUCAGCGGAGGAGCUCGUGACGGAGAGAACAAGCGCGUGUGCCUGGUAUUAGGAAGCACCCCAGUGAUUCUCCUGCAGCUCAAGAAGCUGCUUCCAGCCAGGCUGAAGAGGCGACCGGUAGCCAGGAAAUAAUGUUACUAGCUUAGGAGAAGGCAGCGUCAGUGAGGAAGCCACCGCCACCUGUGAGAAAGAGGAUCACUGUGAUAAUAGCGAAGACGUUUUGCAUAUUUUUAUGUAGGAGAAGAAGAGAGAGAGAGAGAGAGAG